rnacentral:rRNA from 1 species
UACGUAGGGUGCGAGCGUUGUCCGGAAUUAUUGGGCGUAAAGGGCUCGUAGGCGGUUUGUCACGUCGGGAGUGAAAACUCAGGGCUCAACCCUGAGCCUGCUUCCGAUACGGGCAGACUAGAGGUAUGCAGGGGAGAACGGAAUUCCUGGUGUAGCGGUGAAAUGCGUAGAUAUCAAGAGGAACACCUGAGGUGAAGACGGGUUGCUGGGCUGACACUGACGCUGAUGCGCGAAAGCCAGGGGAGCAAACGGG